rnacentral:rRNA from 1 species
AUGCAAGACUAUUUCACGGAGAAUCCAACGUAUCCACCACGCCUGUUCCGGAGAGGGUACCAAAUGUGUCGAUCCCUCUUUGUGAAAAUUGUUCAAGCUUGUGAGGCAAAUUGUCGGUAUUUUAAUCAACGAAGAAAUGUUGCGGGCUUGAAGGGAUUUAGUGCAUAUCAAAGAAUCUCGGCAGCUAUGCGGGUGAUUGCGUAUGCGUUCUGGCUAAUUAUGCCAAUGAGUAUCUUCGCAUUGGUGAAUAUACAACAACUGCCAAAGUGA